GUGGCGGUGUAGUCCCACGUCCCCGCGCCGUCGAGGAGGGCGUGGUCGCCGAAGCGGUCGCCGUCCGCGAGCACGCCGACGGCGAGCUCGUCGCCGUACUUGCCGACGGCGGUCUGGUUGAUCCGGCCGUGGGCGAUCAGGUGGAUCCCGCCCGCGGGGGAACCCCGCUCGACCAGCACCUCACCGGGGCGGAAGUCGCGCUGGACGCACCGGCCCGCGAGCGCGGUCAGCACCUCCACGUCGUCGAACCCGCGCAGCAUGGCGAUCUCGCCGAGCUCACGCGGGAUCACCCGGACGUGGGCGCCGUCCUGGACGAACUCGAUGCGGCCGUCGCCGACGGUGUAGGUCAGCCUGCGGUUCACCCGGUAGGCGCCGCCCUUGGUCUCGACCCAGGGGAGCAUCCUCAGCAGCCAGCGGGAGGUGAUCUCCUGCAUCUGCGGGGCGGACUUGGUCGUGGUGGCGAGGUUGCGGGCGGCCGCCGUACCCAGGCUGGUCUGCCGGGGCGGCUCCA
rfam:Streptomyces sp. Mg1, complete genome.